UACGGGGGGGGCAAGCGUUGUUCGGAAUUAUUGGGCGUAAAGGGCGCGUAGGCGGUGCGGUAAGUCACCUGUGAAACGUCCUAGGCGUUAACCCUAGAGCCUGCAGGCGAAACUGCCGUGCUUGAGGGUGGGAGAGGUGCGUGGAAUUCCCGGUGUAGCGGUGAAAUGCGUAGAGAUCGGGUGGAACACCAGGGGCGAAGGCGGCAUCCUGGCCCAGAACUGGACGCUGAG
rnacentral:rRNA from 1 species